rnacentral:lncRNA from 1 species
CUGGAGGGUAGUAGCAUGAUCAUUGCUUACUGAAGCCUCAACCUCCUCUACUCAAGCAAUCCUCCUGCCUCAGCCUCUGGAGUAGCUGGGACUACAGCCAGAAAUGCGCCAGUAACCUCUCUGUGCCUACUCGGGCUUGGGAGCCUGCCUGAUUUAAAAAAGAAGGAGAAGGAGAAGGAGAUGAAGAAGGAGAAGGAAGAGGAAGAAAGAAGAGAAAGAAAGAAGAGGAAGAGGAGGAGGAAGAAGAAGAGAAAGAAGAGGAGAAGGAGGAAGAAGGAGGAGGAGGAGGAGGAGGAGAAGAAGAAGGAGAAGGAGAAGGGAAGAAGGAAGAAGAAGAAACAACUUGUCAGACUGAGAGACCUGACUUUUGCUUUGGAAAAUUGGUCCUGGAAGUUCAGAGCAUUUACUGUAAACCUCUCCUGGGUGAUCAGCGAGGAGUUGGGAGCCUCUUGCUCCCAGCAUGUAUGUUGACUCCAAGGGAGGUGGUGAGUUGCUUAAGGCUGGUGGUGGCUAAUCAGGCCCAGAGACAAGGCACCCUGUCUCCCAGGCCAGAUGCUUCUUCUACAGUGUUGUAACUGCAAUAGGUCCAUGGCCUGAUGCAUUCAGCAAGUCACCAUGUAAUUGCCCAGUGGGUUCUUUCUGCCUGCUGCACAGACAAAACCCAUUCACUGAUACUGUGGUAUUAUAGUAAAGAAUUUAAUUAAUGAUAGGCCAGCCACAUGGGAGAACUGGAGAUUGCUCAAAUCAAUCUCCUUGAAGGCUUGGAGGUUAGAAUUGUUCAAGGAUAGUUUGGUGGGCAGGGAACUAAGGAAUGGGUGCUGCUGAUUGGCCAGGGAUGCAAUCACAGUGGGAAACUGUCCUCAUCCACUGUGUCUGCCUCUGUUUGGGGUGAGGGCACAGGACUGGUUGAGUCGUGAAUCAUUAAGUCCAGGUGGGCUCAGUUGGUUGCCAGAAUGCAGAAGUCUGAGAUACAUCUCAGAAGACUAAUCUUAGAUUCUGGGAUCGGUAGUGGUGGUAUCUGUAGGAGCAAUGGGGAAGUCACAAAACUUGUGACCUCUAGCCACAACAAUUCCUUAGCAAUAAGAGAUGAUGGAAACUAUGCCCUACAUUUUUUUUUGUUUUUUUUUGAGACGGAGUCUCACUCUGUCACCCAGGCUGGAGUACAGUGGUGCAAUCUCAGCUCACUGCAACCUCCACCUCCCAGGUUCAAGUGAUUCUCCUGCCUCAGCCUCCCAAGUAGCUGGGACUACAGGCAUGAGCCACCAUGCCCGGCUAAUUUUUUUUUUUUUUGUAUUUUUAGUACAGACAGGGUUUCACCCCGCUGGCCAGGCUGGUCUCAAACUCCUUACCUCGUAAACUGCUGCCUCAGCCUCCCAAAGUGAUGGGAUUACAGGCAUGAGCCAACGUGCCCGGCCCCGCCCUACAUUUAAGCAGAAUUCAGGCCCCUUCUAUAUUUGUAAUCUUGUGGCCUUCCAUUGGUCUUACAAAGGCAGUUUCAGCCCCCUAACAAGGAGGGGAUCAGUUUUAGAGAGGGACUAUUAUCAUCCUUUCUUCAAAGUUAAACUGUAAACUAAAUUCCUCCCAUGGUUAGCUUGGCCUAUGCCCAGGAAUGAGUGAGGACAGCCAGCCUGGGGGGCUAGAAGCAAGAGGGAGUCAGCCUUGCUAGACUUCUCUCACUGUCAUAAUCUUUGCAAAGGCAAUUUUAAAUAUGCCCAAGACACCAGACUGCAGCAGAGAAAGAGGUUUAAUUGUAGGGCCACCAAACAAGGAGACAGGAGGAAACCUCAAAUCCGACUCUCUGAGGAGUUUGGGGAUAGUGUCUUUAAGGGUUUUGGAGUGUGCCAAAGUGUGGAGAUUGUUGAUUGGUCAAAGAGUGCAGGUUGGAGCCAUAAGACAGGCAGGUGAAGAAACUGUAUUCUCAUAUUGAUUCUGUUCUUCUCUGGGGGUCUUCAAACUGGUUGGCAUAAGCUGUCUUACUGGAAUUGGGGAUCUGAAAGACAUUGUAAGCAAUUUUUAAAUGAGAGCCCUGUGAUUCUAAUGUCAGAGAUCCUAUCUAGCUUAAACAAAAGUCUUGUGGUUCUAACAUCAGAAAUCCUAUCUAUAGGAACCAUGGGGAUGCAAACGGCCAGUAUCUAUCUAGUCCUACCAUGACUGUUGGUUACAAGGAAGCUGGUCAAAGUGCGGCCUGAUUAAUGCUUAAUCAUAACCAUAUUUCUGUUCAGAAUUCUUGUUAACCCUGUGAAGACAGCUUCAAUGUCACAGAGCUGCCUGUAGGAAUGAACGCCUUACACUUCAGACCUGGCCCUCUUCACCUGCCCUUUCCAUGCUGCCAACAGGGCCUUCCAGUGGCAGCGGUGACCAGUCACUGGGAAAGCCCAGCUGAGUCAAUGUUUGCUGGCUAACUGCAGAAGGAAUGAUGAACUGGUCCCCAUGAAUGGAGAGGUCCAACACAAAGCUAUGCUAAUUUUUCAUAAGCUCUGCCUGCCGCCUUUUAUAUAUCAACCUGAAAUGUAAUUAUCUUUAUGGCUGGUGGAGUAAAUCACCAGUAUGUGUCAA